rnacentral:piRNA from 1 species
UGCAACAGGUCCACGUGACUGGAUAAUGUAU